GAGAUAGGCUCGCUAGCACCGAAGACUGCUAAUCCUCGCCUCCCUGGUUGAACCCCAGGGCUAACUCG
rnacentral:tRNA from 1 species